AACGACUUCUCCGCAAGGGGUGUAUGAUGACCAUGGAAUCAAUUUAGUUGGAGAAAUGGUUAAAGAGUCGGUAGAGUAGUUCAAUUUCUGAACUAUCUGGUUAGGUUCUAAUGGUACAUAAAAAUUUGAGGGAAUGAUCUUACUUGAAUAGUCGUACUCAUAACCGCAGCAGGUCUCCAAGGUUAGAAGCCUCUAGUUGGCAGAAUAAUGUAGGUAAGGGAAGUCGGCAAAAUAGAUCUGUAACUUCGGGAAAAAGAUUGGCUCUAAAGGCUGAAUAUAUGGGCUAUAUCAGUAAGUUAUCGUAGACUAAGUUAUUACGAUUGGCUGUCAUGGUUGAUUGUGAUGGUUUAGUUGAAGGUGAUGGAUGGGUGUAGGCAGCUGUCAAAGGUUGUGCUGUAUACAAUUAACAGCUAAUUUAGAACUGUUACUGACCAGGGGAAUCCGACUGUUAAUUAAAACAAGCAUUGUGAUGUUCUCAAUAAGGAUUCUAACACAAUGUGAUUUCUGCCCAGUGCU
rnacentral:rRNA from 1 species